rnacentral:sRNA from 1 species
CAGUGUCGCAGGAACUUUAAGGGUAGA